UGGGGAAUAUUGGACAAUGGGCGAAAGCCUGAUCCAGCAAUGCCGCGUGAGUGAUGAAGGCCUUAGGGUUGUAAAGCUCUUUUACCAGGGAUGAUAAUGACAGUACCUGGAGAAUAAGCUCCGGCUAACUCCGUGCCAGCAGCCGCGGUAAUACGGAGGGAGCUAGCGUUGUUCGGAAUUACUGGGCGUAAAGCGCACGUAGGCGGCUUUUUAAGUCAGGGGUGAAAUCCCGGGGCUCAACCCCGGAACUGCCCUUGAAACUGGAGAGCUAGAAUCUUGGAGAGGCGAGUGGAAUUCCGAGUGUAGAGGUGAAAUUCGUAGAUAUUCGGAAGAACACCAGUGGCGAAGGCGACUCGCUGGACAAGUAUUGACGCUGAGGUGCGAAAGCGUGGGGAGCAAACAG
rnacentral:rRNA from 1 species